CGCUCCGGUGGCCUAACGGUUAGAGCGUCCGCCUUGGAUGCAGUAGGUCGUGGGUUCAAUCCCCAGUCGAGUUA